rnacentral:rRNA from 1 species
UGCUAGCGUUGUUCGGAAUUACUGGGCGUAAAGCGUAGGUCGGCGGUCUACCAAGUCAGGGGUGAAAUCCCGAGGCUCAACCUCGGAAUUGCCUUUGAAACUGGUAGGCUAGAGAAUGUUAGAGGCAAGUGGAAUUCCUAGUGUAGGAGUGAAAUCCGUAGAUAUUAGGAGGAACAUCAAUGGCGAAGGCAGCUUGCUGGGACAUUACUGACGCUGAGCUACGAAAGCGUGGGUAGCAAACAGG